GUGCUUGCUUUGGCAGCACAUAUACUAAAAUUGGAAUGAUACAGAGAAGAUGAGCAUGGCCCCUUAAAAAAAAAGGACAAAAAAGAAAUAACUGUAAUCUUA
rnacentral:snRNA from 1 species